rnacentral:tRNA from 1 species
AUUUAUAUAGUUUAAUAUAAAACCCUUUAUUUUCAAUAAAGAAACAAGAUUUAUCUUUAUAAAUA